GGGAAUUUUCCGCAAUGGGCGAAAGCCUGACGGAGCAAUACCGCGUGAGGGAGGACGGCUUUUGGGUUGUAAACCUCUUUUCUCUGGGAAGAAGAUCUGACGGUACCAGAGGAAUCAGCAUCGGCUAACUCCGUGCCAGCAGCCGCGGUAAUACGGAGGAUGCAAGCGUUAUCCGGAAUUAUUGGGCGUAAAGGGUCCGCAGGUGGUUAAUCAAGUCUGUUGUCAAAGCGUGGAGCUUAACUCCAUAAGGGCAAUGGAAACUGAGUAACUAGAGUACAGUAGGGGUUGCGGGAAUUCCCAGUGUAGCGGUGAAAUGCGUAGAUAUUGGGAAGAACACCAGCGGCGAAGGCGCGCGACUGGACUGAGACUGACACUGAGGGACGAAAGCUAGGGGAGCGAAAGGGAUUAGAUACCCCUGUAGUCCUAGCUGUAAACGAUGGACACUAGGUGUUGCGCGUAUCGACCCGUGCAGUGCCGUAGCUAACGCGUUA
rnacentral:rRNA from 1 species